UACGUAGGUGGCAAGCGUUGUCCGGAUUUAUUGGGUUUAAAGGGUGCGUAGGCGGCUUUGUAAGUCAGUGGUGAAAGCCGGUAGCUUAACUAUCGAAAUGCCAUUGAUACUGCAGAGCUUGAGUACAGUUGAGGUAGGCGGAAUUGACAGUGUAGCGGUGAAAUGCUUAGAUAUUGUCAAGAACUCCGAUUGCGAAGGCAGCUUACUAAAGUGUAACUGACGCUGAGGCACGAAAGUGCGGGGAUCAAACAGG
rnacentral:rRNA from 1 species